rnacentral:rRNA from 1 species
GAUGAACGCUAGCGGCAGGCUUAAUACAUGCAAGUCGAGGGACAGCACAGGUAGCAAUACUGGGUGGUAACCGGCAAACGGGUGCGGAACACGUACACAACCUUCCUUUAAGUGGGGAAUAGCCCAGAGAAAUUUGGAUUAAUACCCCGUAAUAUAGUUGAAUGGCAUCAUUUGAUUAUUAUAGCUACGGCGCUUAAUGAUGGGUGUGCGGCUGAUUAGAUAGUUGGCGGGGUAACGGCCCACCAAGUCUACGAUCAGUAGCUGAUGUGAGAGCAUGAUCAGCCACACGGGCACUGAGACACGGGCCCGACCCCUACGGGAGGCAGCAGUAAGGAAUAUUGGUCAAUGGACGCAAGUCUGAACCAGCCAUGCCGCGUGAAGGAUUAAGGUCCUCUGGAUUGUAAACUUCUUUUAUUUGGGACGAAAAAGGGCCUUUCUAGGUCAACUGACGGUACCAGAUGAAUAAGCACCGGCUAACUCCGUGCCAGCAGCCGCGGUAAGAC